ensembl:lncRNA
AAACAGUGCAUGUUUACAAAAAUGCGUACAUAUGAAGCUACACACAUUAAAUAUAUUAGAAGAGCCUCCUGUGGGGAAGAAGGUCAUGAGAGUGGGGAAUGGGGAUUAAAAAGGAAAUAAAAGGGGAAAAAAGACUAUUAAAAAACAUUUUUUUUAGCUGAUCUUAACCACAAUCCCAGGGAGCAGGGAGCCUGGUGGGCUGCCGUCUCUGGGGUCGCUCACGACUGAAGCGACUUAGCAGCAGCAGCAGCAGCAGCAACCACAAUUCUUAGCUGUUCCCCAUGGAGUGAAGCAUUUUUCCGAGGGCGAGAGGAAGGGAGGAAGGUACGCAUUUUUACUUAGGACAGUCCGGAGCGAUUUCUGACUGCUCAGAGCGCACAGGUGUAGACGACAGGAUGGAACCCUACAAUUAGCUAGAGAUGUUCUUAGUGAAGAGUGAUUCUGGAUACAUCGUGUGUCUGGGUGUGUUCCCAGUGACCACCCCACAAACCCUCCUUUAUCCGAGCGUGGCAUGAGUAGCACUGGAAGACUUUUGAAUGAAAAUCCUGCAUUGAAAUCGGAUUUGUCUUUUGAUGUGACAGUAGACAUGUCAGCUUUGGGAGCAGAAUCCGGAAACUGUCAACACUGAAUUUCCUUUCGCGUCUGCCCAACGCUGCUCCUAUCCAUAAGCGCCUGGGAAGGAACAAGCAGCAUCUCUGAGGCUCAGUUUCCUUAGCCCUAGAAUGAGGCGCUAAAACUGCUCUAUUCAUAAGGAAGUGCAUAGAGGACAGUAGCAAGCUACCCCAGCGUCAGGGCCCCGGGCUAACAGGGGCUGUCGCGCCUGGAGCUGCACAUUUUGGACAGUGCAAACAUGUGCAUCAUCACCAGAGCACGACGGGAUCACCCAGGCCUGCACCGCCGCGUGGAACUUUGUGACUUCGGGCAGCUCCUACCUUCUGAGCCUCCUUUCUUGCCUAUAAAACGGAGACAGCGGUGCCAGCCUCAUUGGCUCCGAUGACUGAAUUGACAAGAGUGACUCAGUGAGUCACCUGCACAGUGCCCGGAGCCUGGCAGGCCUUGGCAGUGCCAGCCCCCGUGUCUUGCACCUGGUUGCUGAGGCUUAGGGUGGUUACCAAGCCUUCCCUUCUCUCUCUGCGGCCCAGGCAGGUCUUGUCACAGGCCAUUUUGUGGCAGAGUGAGCCCCUACCCAGACUCUCCGGGAGGCGGCAUAGGAACAACAGAAGGAAAGGCAGGAGCAAAGACUGCUGCCCUGUUUUAUCCACCGGCUGCCACUCACUAUGGUGUGUCCCUCCAGGACCUAGCUUCAGACAGGGACUCCAGCGGAGAACUGGUGUAUCUGUAUACCCGUGUUCCUAGCAGCACUGCUUACAACACCCAAAAAGCAGAAACAACCCAAGUAUCCGUCAACAGGGACUGUAGCCCUCCAGCCUCCUCCAUCCAUGGGAUUUGCCAGACUUCUGAACCAUCCUUGGUGACAUCUCCACCAAAAGCAGCAUUUGGGAGAUUACCUCUAAAGGUGAAGCUAUCAGAGGGGUCCUCCAUUCAGCUCUGGUCUAAGGGGUCCUCUUGGAGGUAUCUCCCUGAUUCCAGAGAAUGAGGUGCCCAGUUUAAGGACCUGCUGCAGACCGCGAGUUCGCUCCCACACUUCCAUCUCGAGCCUCACAGGCCGCACCUGGAUAGGACGCUGCGGGCGGUAGGCACGGAGGCGCGGGUGUCCACUUCAUCCGAGCUGGCACGAUGCCCGUCGUUGCUAAGCCCUUUUGGACUCAAAAUCCUCAGAUAAGGAGAUCAAAGCCCAAGAGGGGGUGGAGGGGCCAAUCCUGCCGCUGCUAGCCGGUCCCCAGCGGCUCCCGAGCAGCGCGUGGGUCAGCAGAGCCGGUGUGCUAGAGCAAAGGCCCACCGGAGCCCAAGGACCCUCCUUGGUUCAUCACCCCCCUUUGGUCCCCGGGCCACUGCCGAGUAGCCUCGCGUACUCACUGGGCCAUCGAUCAGUCCAGGAAGUGCCCGCAAGGUCAUCUGCACAACAAAGGCGGCCCCAAGCGGUGCCUUCUGUAUUGUAAAUACCAGGCCUUGUCCCCGGCGAAGCGGAGCCCCGGGAGAGAAGCUGCCCGAGGAAUCCUGCCCCCACUCCGCAUCCCUUCCCCACAACUCCGGAGCGCAUUCAUUUGAAAUGUUAAUGUUUUGAAGCUUCCCUCUAGGACUGGAUCAGUUUCCUUAAAAGAAGGCUGAAGCCUCUGGGCUUAAUAAACAAGCCGGCAUUUGACUUGGGUGGGAACCGGGUAAACAUUUGUUGGUUUCAGAGAGGCAGGUGUACGAGGACAAACGCCGGUAGAUUAUUACACAGCCUCGCCAGUCGCUUUAGAAAGACUCCUUUGUGCACCGAUUCCAGGAGAGAGACGUUUUCCUAAUCUACAGACCCUUAUUUGCACCCUUCAGGC